CCUACGGGAGGCAGCAGUGAGGAAUAUUGGUCAAUGGGCGUAAGCCUGAACCAGCCAAGUCGCGUGAGGGAUGAAGGUUCUAUGGAUCGUAAACCUCUUUUAUAAGGGAAUAAAGUGUGGGACGUGUCCUGUUUUGUAUGUACCUUAUGAAUAAGGAUCGACUAACUCCGUGCCAGCAGCCGCGGUAAUACGGAGGAUCCGAGCGUUAUCCGGAUUUAUUGGGUUUAAAGGGUGCGUAGGCGGCCUUUUAAGUCAGCGGUGAAAGUCUGUGGCUCAACCAUAGAAUUGCCGUUGAAACUGGGAGGCUUGAGUAUGUUUGAGGCAGGCGGAAUGCGUGGUGUAGAGGUGAAAUGCUUAGAUAUCACGCAGAACCCCGAUUGCGAAGGCAGCCUGCCAAGCCAUGACUGACGCUGAUGCACGAAAGCGCGGGGAUCAAACAGGAUUAGAUACCCUGGUAGUC
rnacentral:rRNA from 1 species